AGGAGCCAGGGUACACAGGAUGGGUGAGUGCUUCUCCAGGACAUGUCAGUUUCUGGGCAGGGCUUAGGCUUCUGCAGUCCCUAGUCCCACCCCUGGCCUUGCAUUCCAGCUCAGCAGGUGAAAGGUAUAAAUUUCAGCUGCUCUCAGCCCUGCUGUGUUUUUCCAAGGCCUUCCAACAGCAACAUGAAGGUGGCAGCCUUCCUCCUCCUUGUGAUCCUUAUCAUCUUUAGCCUAGAGGUACAAGAGCUUCAGGCUGCACUGAGAUCGAGGGAGGUUUUUGGUAUCUGCAUUGAGCUCUGCAGCGGUGACUGGGACUGUGACCCAGGAGAGACCUGUGUCAGCAAUGGGUGUGGCCAUGUGUGUGCUGCACAGUAAGGAUGGGUUGAAACACCAGGCCCUCCCUGCUUUCCCAAACACUGUCCGGUCUAGAUGAAGAGUUAUUUUAAGGAUCAUCUUUCUCUAAGAUCAUCAUUCCUUCCUGGAGUUCCUGUCUUCCAAGAUGUGACUGUCUGGCGCUCCUUAACUAGGAAGAUGGAUGAAAAUGGGAAGCCUGUGGAUGAAGACUACAAGGAAUACGGGAAGAAGGGGAGAGAGGUUGUUCCUUUUAAUAAAUCAUCACUGUUAAGAGCA